AGAGUUUGAUCAUGGCUCAGGACAAACGCUGGCGGCGUGCCUAACACAUGCAAGUCGGACGGGGUACGCUCUUCGGAGUGUGCCGAGUGGCGGACGGGUGAGUAAGACGUGGGCGACCUGCCGCUUGGAGGGGGAUACCCCGCGGAAACGCGGGUUAAGACCGCAUACGCUGGUUGGGGUAGAGCCCGAUCAGGAAAACGCGCAAGCGUGCCAAGUGAGGGGCCUGCGGCCGAUUAGCUAGUUGGGGGGGUAACGGCCUCCCAAGGCGACGAUCGGUAGCUGGUCUGAGAGGACGAUCAGCCACACUGGGAUUGAGAACGGCCCAGACUCCUACGGAGGGCAGCAGUGAGGGAUCUUCGGCAAUGGGGGCAACCCUGACCGAGCGACGCCGCGUGCGGGACGAAGGCCUUCGGGUCGUAAACCGCUUUUCUUGGGGACGAGAAUGGACGGUACCCGAGGAAGAAGCCUCGGCUAACUACGUGCCAGCAGCCGCGGUAAUACGUAGGAGGCGAGCGUUGUCCGGAGUUACUGGGCGUAAAGGGUGCGUAGGCGGCUGCGCGCGUGGAGGGUGAAAUCUCUCGGCUUACCCGGGAGGGGGCUUUCCAGACGGCGUGGCUUGAGGGACGGAGAGGGGCGUGGAAUUCCGGGUGGAGCGGUGAAAUGCGUAGAUAUUCGCAAGAACACCAGUGGCGAAGGCGGCUCACUGGCCCGAUACUGACGCUGAGGUGCGAAAGCGUGGGGAGCAAACAGGAUUAGAUACCCUAGUAGUCC
rnacentral:rRNA from 1 species